rnacentral:rRNA from 1 species
GAUGAACGCUGGCGGCGUGCCUAAUACAUGCAAGUCGAGCGAACAGACGAGGAGCUUGCUCCUCUGACGUUAGCGGCGGACGGGUGAGUAACACGUGGAUAACCUACCUAUAAGACUGGGAUAACUUCGGGAAACCGGAGCUAAUACCGGAUAAUAUAUUGAACCGCAUGGUUCAAUAGUGAAAGACGGUUUUGCUGUCACUUAUAGAUGGAUCCGCGCCGCAUUAGCUAGUUGGUAAGGUAACGGCUUACCAAGGCAACGAUGCGUAGCCGACCUGAGAGGGUGAUCGGCCACACUGGAACUGAGAGACGGUCCAGCCUCCUACGGGAGGCAGCAGUAGCGAGUCUUCCGCAAUGGGCGAAAGCCUGGCGGAGCAAAGCGGCGUGAGUGAUGAAGGUCUUCGGAUCGUAAAACUCUGUUAUUAGGGAAGAACACAUGUGUAAGUAACUAUGCACGUCUUGACGGUACCUUAUCAGAAAGCCACGGCUAACUACGUG